GAGCAUGGCGUGCACCCGAGAGACCAGGGGACCCUAGAUUGGUGGCAGGCCAGCGAACUAUUUUCUUAUUGCAAGAAAUACAUAUGACUGUAAAGAUUUGGACGGCGAUACCCCCGCAGCACCUGAUUUCGAGUCCAGCUCGCCCCCGCGUCCACAUGUAUCGUGCGCAUGUACGCGAACAGGACUCGUAAUCUCGUAAUGUGCAUUGCACGGGCGCUCGUGUUGUGGUACAGAUGCUGAGAUAUAGUAAGAACUCCCACCCAUAUCCUCUGUAUUCUGAUCUAACGGUCUUAUCUGUUACAAUUUAAAUUGUGAUGUGUCUUGAAGAUCCUCUUAGGCCCAGCUUUUGUAUAUUCUAUUAAUAACUAGCACUUUUCUUUCAAUACUUUACAAUUUCUUACACAGUUGUUGGAAGGCGCCAUUUUACAUUCAGUUCGAAUGGGCACGUAUUCUCGCGAGUACUUGCUUGGAAAGGGUCACGAUUAAGGCAUGCAUGCUAGUAGCAGAAAGGAUGCUUGUCUUUGAGGUUCAAUACAAUUAUUAAAUUAUAGGACUAUUAUAUUUUAUUCUAUUCAAAGAAUCAGGAAGUUGUGGAAUGUCAAUUAAAUAUUUGAUAUGAAUCACAUCUA